rnacentral:rRNA from 1 species
AUUGAACGCUGGCGGCAGGCCUAACACAUGCAAGUCGAGCGGAUGAAGGGAGCUUGCUCCUGGAUUCAGCGGCGGACGGGUGAGUAAUGCCUAGGAAUCUGCCUGGUAGUGGGGGAUAACGUCCGGAAACGGGCGCUAAUACCGCAUACGUCCUGAGGGAGAAAGUGGGGGAUCUUCGGACCUCACGCUAUCAGAUGAGCCUAGGUCGGAUUAGCUAGUUGGUGGGGUAAAGGCCUACCAAGGCGACGAUCCGUAACUGGUCUGAGAGGAUGAUCAGGCACACUGGAACUGAGACACGGUCCAGACUCCUACGGGAGGCAGCAGUGGGGAAUAUUGGACAAUGGGCGAAAGCCUGAUCCAGCCAUGCCGCGUGUGUGAAGAAGGUCUUCGGAUUGUAAAGCACUUUAAGUUGGGAGGAAGGGCAGUAAGUGAAUACCUUGCUGUUUUGACGUUACCAACAGAAUAAGCACCGGCUAACUUCGUG